AGCAUUGCGUGGUGAUGGUCUUGUAGCCAAUGAAGCUUUAUCCAAGGCACAAUUAUUGCUAAUUAAAAACUUUUCCCAAUAUCCCGCCAUGACAAUUUGAAAUAUAGUCGGCAUUGGCAAUUUUUGAGGGUCUCUAAGGAGA
rnacentral:snRNA from 1 species